AUUGAACGCUGGCGGCAGGCCUAACACAUGCAAGUCGAGCGGAGCGACGGACGGGUGAGUAAUGCCUAGGAAUCUGCCUGGUAGUGGGGGAUAACGUCCGGAAACGGGCGCUAAUACCGCAUACUAUCAGAUGAGCCUAGGGCGGAUUAGAUAGUUGGUGGGGUAAAGGCCUACCAAGUCGACGAUCCGUAACUGGGCUGAGAGGAUGAUCAGUCACACUGGAACUUAGACAAGUGCCAGACUCCUACGGGAGGCAGCAGUGGGUAAUAUUGGACAAUGUGCGAAAGCCUGAUCCAGCCAUGCCGCGUGUGUGAAGAAGGUCUUCGGAUUGUAAAGCACUUUAAGUUGGGAGGCGUUACCAACAGAAUAAGCACCGGCUAACUUCGUGCCAGCAGCCGCGGUAAUAC
rnacentral:rRNA from 1 species